CAGUAGCCGCGGUAAUACGAAGGGUGCAAGCGUUACUCGGAAUUACUGGGCGUAAAGCGUGCGUAGGUGGUGGUUAAGUCCGUUGUGAAAGCCCUGGGCUCAACCUGGGAAUUGCAGUGGAUACUGGGUCACUAGAGUGUGGUAGAGGAUAGUGGAAUUUCCGGUGUAGCAGUGAAAUGCGUAGAGAUCGGAAGGAACAUCUGUGGCGAAGGCGACUAUCUGGGCCAACACUGACACUGAGGCACGAAAGCGUGGGGAGCAAACAGGAUUAGAUACCCCUGUAGUCCCUGUCUCUUAUACA
rnacentral:rRNA from 1 species